rnacentral:lncRNA from 1 species
AUGGUUAUAUUGGAGAUGCCAUCAGGGGACCCCCCCGGUUCUGCCAGCCAUGCCCCUGCCCCCUGCCUCAUGUUGCCAAUUUUGCAGAGUCCUGCUAUAGGAAAAAUGGAGCUGUUCGGUGUAUUUGUAAAGAAAACUAUGCUGGACCUAAUUGUGAAAGGUAGGCUCCUAAAUACCCCUAUGCUCUGUGAUGGUAAAAGGAAACUUCCUGUUUCCUACAUUCAUCAGUUCUGCCAUGCUCUCAUUCAAUAUAUCUUAAGAGGCAAUGAGGGAUAGCAUUUCAGAACCCUUUAGGGGAACUUUUCCAAACCCCAUGCCAUAGAUACAACUAUAAGAAUGCUCCCUAAGGACUUCCCUCGUGGUCUAAUGGAUAAGAACCUGCCUGCCAAUGCAGGGGACCACGGGUUCAGUCCCUGGGUGGGGAAGAGCCCACGUGCCACGGAGCAACNNNNNNNNNNNNNNNNNNNNNNNNNNNNNNNNNNNNNNNNNNNNNNNNNNNNNNNNNNNNNNNNNNNNNNNNNNNNNNNNNNNNNNNNNNNNNNNNNNNCCCUGGGUGGGGAAGAGCCCACGUGCCACGGAGCAACUAAAUCCGUGUGCCACAGCUAUUGAAACCUGUGCUGUCUAGAGCCUAUGCUCCACAACAGGAGAAGCCACUGCAAUGAGACGCCUGUGCACCACAGCUAGAGAGUAGCCCCCGCUCACCACAGCUAGAGAGAGCCCGAGCAGCAACAAAGAUGCAGCGGAGUCAAAAGUUAAUUAGUUUUAAAAAAAAGAUUGUUCCAUAGGCGUCCAUGGCUACAUCACAGGAUAAAUGGGUAAGGAAAGAGGAAAAUGAAUGUCUGUAUUUUGAAGAGAUGGUUUUGGGAACCGCCCUUUCUCUCUCUCUCUCUCUCUGAGUACAAUAAUUAAUGUCCAAAAGAGAGGGAGAAAGAGAGAAAGACUUCUUCAGGCAUUCCUUUUUUUAUUAACUGGUCGGUUAAUACAGUGAUGCAUUGAAAAAGGCACAAACCUAUUAUUUAACCGAUUUUUUAUACCAUUUCCUCUCCUGAAAAGUAAUUCCAUGAGUUUGGAUUUUCUGAACGCCUUUUUUGGUAUUUAUACCUAACACUUUUUUAAGUUGCUUUGGGCUUUGCUCAAACAGGAAAGGACUUGGCAAGCAAGAGCGCACGGCUUCCCACCAAAUGAUUUCUGGCAAGAUAUUUCCCAUCCUCCCUCAGCUGCUCACAGGUUUCUAAGAUAAAAGGGCUUUCACUAAAAGAAUCUCACAGAGAGGCCUUAUUUUUAACACAAAUGCCAUUAACCUCAGCUUCCCCAUGUAUUUAGGCAGCAAAAUGAUGCACGGUGUCCUCAAGACAGGGAAGGAAGGGCCAGGAAGGACCAGUCAGACAUCUAGUCCCAUAUCUCCAUGGUCGUGGGAUGCUCGCUUCACACAGCACACUGCCUACUGCCUUGGGUGGGGCUCACAGACUCAGCCUAGGGUUCAAAAGGUAAACCUCAAUUACCAUUUCACAUCCAAAGAAAACACCCUCCACCUCUCAAAGUGUUGCUCUGGAACUCUUUAGAAAAAGGCAGAGUGUCUAUGGAAUGUAGAAAACCUCUAUAUUUUGAGGAGAUUGUUAUUGUAAUUGUUAAAUAUGCACAAUAUGGAUAAUUUUUUUGCUAAAAAGUUGUGGGAUUUUCCCCUCUUUUACUGUAAGAGAAGAGGACCGUGAAAGCUAAGAGACCAUGUGAAUGUCAUCCUUUAGGGGGACUGCUAGAGAUGAUCAGACGACCUUCAGCUGAUGAAUGUUGGUGACACGCUUAUUCUGUAUUUCUUUAUGUGGGGACCCAGGAACAUGAACCAUCUGAUUUACUCAUUAUUUGGCUCCCCAGGGGUGUGAGAGGUUGUUUAUCAGCCAGGGAUGGAGCUUCUUCUCAUCAGUGUCUGAGACUAAACUCAGUUUAGUCUGAUAAGGAUUGAGCAAUAUUACUGGCUAAUGGGUGCUAGAUGGCUCCUGAGAGGGGAAUUAAUAGUCUUAGAGUCCUGCUGACCGAACACACAUUCCCCCAGAAGUGAAGUAAUCUGGACCCCAAGGGCUCAGUUCUACACAGUCACACAGGGGUGUGGAUAGGGUUCUGUCAGCAACAGCGGGGGGCCUGCCACAAGACAGCAU